ACCCUUGUGGAGGAGGACGCCGAAGGUGGGGCUAAUGACUGGGGUGAAGUCGUAACAAGGUAGCCGUACCGGAAGGUGCGGCUGGAUCACCUCCUAACAGGGAGACAACAAAAUGUUUAAUAUUAUUAUUUUGUCACCUUAGGUCGAUCGGUAUCUCACAUUCUUAAUUUUUAAGAAUUUCAUUUCCUAAGUUUUUCUAGGUCACACCCAUUAUUUUUCCUGGGCCAUUAGCUCAGGUGGUUAGAGCGCACCCCUGAUAAGGGUGAGGUCCCUGGUUCAAGUCCAGGAUGGCCCAUAUCUCUAUGUUGGGGGUAUAGCUCAGUUGGUAGAGCGCCUGCUUUGCAAGCAGGAUGUCAGCGGUUCGAGUCCGCUUACCUCCACUGAUCACCACCUCUGCCAUAAUUUGUAAAAGGAAAUAUUUUGAGUUGUGAUCAUAAUUCUGAACGAAUCUAGCUUCCUAAUGAAAUCAUUAAGAUGCUGGACUCAUUGAAUUAAUUUCAUUGUUUUCAGAGAACCUUGACAACUGCAUAGAUUAUUUUUAAAGACAAUAAGCAUCUUUAAUGAUGCAGAUUUAUUAUUUGUGCAAAUGCAUUAAUAACAAUUCUAUUAAGCUGAUGCUUCAAUUAUGAAGUUAUUGGUCAAGCUACAAAGGGCUCACGGAGGAUACCUAGGCACACAGAGGCG
rnacentral:misc_RNA from 1 species